rnacentral:rRNA from 1 species
AUGGAGGCUGCCAUGUCUGCAGUUGUAGGCGAACUUGUGAUCCGUUUCAUCUCCUUGGUGCUGAAAAAGUACCACUCCUCCAACCAUGCACAAUCAGAGGAGAAGAUGGUGGAGAGGUUGCAGCAUCUCCUGAUGAGAGUUUGCACCAUCGUCAAGGAGGUGGACACGCGAUACAUAACCAACUCCGGGAUGAUGAUGCAGCUCAAGACGCUAUCAGAAGCUAUGUACCGAGGAUAUAGUGUGUUGGACAACUCAAGGUACCGAGCCCUGCAAGAAGGUGCAGGCUUCAACGAGGUUAGCAGCAAUGACUCAUCUAGCAGUAGACUGUAUUUAGCCAAGCGUUCACGAACAACUGAUAAGGCUACACGCCUCGAGUUACACGGUGCCUUGGAAAGUUUAGAAAUUGCUGUUGCUAACAUGGCCGAAUUUGUUGUGCUUUUGGGUGGAUGCGAGCGCAUAUCUCAUAGGCCAUAUGACGUCUAUAUGUACACAGAAAACUUCAUGUUGAGCCGACACGCUGAAAAGCAAAAGCUCUUGAGCUUAUUGUUGGAGCACAACAACCCUCCUGGUGAUCAUGCAAUAGCAGUUCGUCCAAUCAUAGGUGGUGCAGCAAUUGGGAAGAAAACUUUGGUUGCUCAUGUGUGCGGUGACGAAAGGGUUCGCUCACGCUUUCCCUCUAUUUUGCACUUGAAUGGAGAUACCAUUUUGACAAUACUUGACCAUGGAAGGACCAUGGAAGAGAUGAUGUUGGUAGUUAUUGAGUUUACUUCUGAUGUAGGUGAUGAUGAUUGGAAAAAGUUUCACUCAUUUGUCAUAAAAAUGGGUAGAGGAAGCAAGAUCAUCAUCGUAAGUCAACUUAAAAGAUUAGCCCGGUUUGGAUCGGUGCAACCGAUUUUCCUAGGUGUCAUGUCUUACGAUGAGUUGAGGUAUCUUUUCAAGACACUGGUAUUCAGGAGUGUAGGCCCUGCAGAACAUCCACGGCUAGUACAAAUAGCAGAUGAGUUUGCCAAGCUAUUGUGGAACAUGAAUGGUUCACUUGUUGCAACAAAUUCGUAUGCGGAUGUGUUGAGACGGGAUCUCGAUAUUCAGUUUUGGCGUUGCAUAUUGGGCAAGGGGUCAAGAAUGGUUAGAAGAAACCUCUCCAUAUAUGACGUGCACCUAAACACACUCAUACACCAAGGUCACCCAGUGGACAUAACGGACUUUGCUUUGCACCCACUUAGCAUGACACCUUAUAGUGUUAAUGUCUCAAUCAAGAAGGAAUUGCCAAGUGUGACAUUUGGGGAUCUUAUAACAGACCCGAGUGUUAGGCCGAAAGGAGACUUCACUCUAAUCGCAUGGGAAUCAAGGAUACCCCCUUAUAAAUCAUUUCCUAAUUUUGUUACAAGUCAUGCUCAGGACACACAUCAAGGUAGUGCCUUGCCAGGAAGGAAGCGACAAGGAGAGCCAAUCUAG